rnacentral:rRNA from 1 species
CCCUUAGAUGUUCUGGGCAGCACGCGCGCUACAAUGGUCUUCGCAAACGGAUGCAUUCUCGAAGGAGAAUGCCAAUCUUGGAAUCUAUGCCUUGGUCGGGACAGUUGCUUGCAAUUUUUCGACUCGAACCAGGAAUUCCUUGUAAUCGUGAUUCAUCACAUCACGAUGAAUACGUCCCUGCCCUUUGUACACACCGCCCGUCGCUCCUACCGAUCGAAGAGUUAGGUGAAUUGUUUUGAUCGAUAAGAUUUGACUAUGGUCAACUCUCGUUGUGAAAUUCUGUGAAUCUGACUGUUUAUAGGAAGGAAAAGUCGUAACA